GCCCCGCCUUCCAAAAUCUCUGCACUGAACUCAUCUACGAAAGAUGUGGGCAUCGAAACCCAAGCAAUCCGACAUCCAGUGGCUGGUUUCUGCGGCUGGUCAGGAAGAGUCCUUUCCUCCCUCCGGUCCUGGGCCACCAGCCGCCAAUGCCAGGCGCGGCGCUUCCUCGCCAGAGACGCAGCUAAGGCCGGCAACUCCCGCACCGCGCGCUCAGUGACUGACUGACUGACUGGCUGGCGGGAGGCGUCGGCGGCGGUGGCGGCGAGAGCGGGGGCGGGGCGGCUGCAGCGCCCCGCUGCGGCGGAGCGGAGUGUGGCCGCGUCCAGAGGAGACGCAGAGGGCGGCGUUGAGGGCCGGCCGACUGUGGGGCCGACUCGCCGCGGGCCUAGAGAGCUGCCCCCGCCCGCCGCCAACCACUCACUUCCGGCGCAGGCCGCCGCGCCCGCCGCCCUCCUCCAGCCCGCGCCCCCCGCCCCCCGCCCCCCCGCCUGCCCUCCCCUCAGGCGCCGGGCCGCACCCAGCCGCGGCUCCUCUCGUGCCUCGCCUUUCCUCCGCAAGUCCCUGUGAGCUGCCUCCAGGAACCAGUGAAUCAGAGAAUGAAUGAGUGGGGAGGAAAACCCCACCCCCUGCUCUCCUUUCCUAAGAAGCGGGCUCAGAGGCCUCUGUCCGAGCGCCCUGGGAGACACGGCAACCUCGACCUGGUCUGUCGGGGAGAUGUACGCAUCCACCUUUACGCCGAGACUCCAGAAACGCAUCCGGGGUUGGCUCGGACACUUAUAGGACCACUGUUGUUGAGAUCUGUGAGGCCCUUCUUUCAGAAAUCCCAUUUUGACCAAAAAUUCUCUGCAGUUUCAUGCCGCGUAUUGGGAAGCAUUUAGAAAUGGGACAUUUAGAUGACCUUUAAUUAGUUUUUAAAUUUCGAAAUCUAUCCUGCCUCCUUAAUUUUUGUCCCUGACCCUAUCGGAAUUGGGUAGUAGUAACGUAUCCGCGUUUUUCCUUAUCGCUAAGCUCAGCUGCUGAUUAUUUUGAUGCAGGCUUGACUUAGACUUUUAGAUUUUAAGUUAUGUCCUUAUUUUGACCGUCACCUAAAGUUGAUCAAAGCAAGUAAAAAAAUAGAAUUAAGUUAUAUUUGGCCACAUGCAAAGUAAGUUUGUUGACAGCAUUAAAACAAUUGAGGAUUUGGGAGUGUGACCUGAAAUGGGUUGCAAUGAACGUUCCCUUUUCAUGUCUUACCCUCUGCUUGCUAAGAAUUUCUGUUAUCUUGAAUUUUCACAAAGAAUUAUUGACUGUACAUUUCUGAAAUCCUAGAGCCCUCUCUAAAACAAGAGUGUUCAUUUCUCUGUCCUGGGGCCAAAUCCUGGUCUGGUUAAUUACAUUUUUACUUCCUGAUAUUCUUGAGGACUUUCAAGUGGUUUCAGUCUUUUUUGUACAAUCUGUUCCAAACUGGUAUUUAGCACCAUACAAUACAGAUACUGGCUGCCUUUCACACCUGAGAUAUUUGUACUUUCGAAACUUAACUGCACUUUUGUAUUCUAAGUUCAAUAGGUGCGUCCAUAUUCUUGUAUAGAAUAACACUGUCUCUUAUAAAUGAGGAUGAUCCUGCUUGACCACUUCUUUUAGACUUCUCUUCCUUUCUUGUGGAAUUCAUCAUUUUGCCACCUAGUUAUUUCAAGAAGUUCUUCUCUCAAAAUGAAUGCAAUACAACACUUUAUUCAUCCUUGUAUCUUCCACAAUAUCUAACAUAGUAUCUUGCACAGUAAGUAUUUACAAAUUAAUAAAUGCUUUAAAAUGUUUCAUAA